CAAUGAACUUGUAGUUCUUCAAAAUUAGGAUCACUGUGGAAAAAGCAGCCACCAAAUUGUUGAAAAAACCAUCGAUGAAAUAUUGUUGAAGUUACAAGUUGUACUUCACUUACCCAUUUCUAGCAAACGUCGUGAUGAUUUUCGUAUUUCCUUUGUAGCCCAAAAAGCGUGCUAGCUGAAAAGCGACGUGCUCAUUUGCAUUUUCAAAUGGUAUGGUUGGAUCGAAUAAAUGGGCUCCCAAGAUAACUGCUUUGUGAAAAAGACCUAAAAUGAUUUUUAAUUCUAAGUCAAUUCAGCGAGUUCCUGGAGGGAGAAAAUUUACUAAAAAGAUAAUUGAUUGAGCAACGCAGUUGACCAAAUCCGUAUGUUUUUAGGUUACUAUAUGUCAAAUCGCUGAACCUUUUGCACUUGUGGUCGGUGAUUUUCAAAAUAUUUUUUUUUAUGGGAUUAGACCUCGAUGAGAGAUGACUACCUAAUGGGCAACCGUAGUUCUUGAAGUUCAUUUUCAUGGAAAAUAUUUGACCUCUUGAGGUCAUUGACUUAUCUAUCUAGCCUCUUAUGGCCGUCUGUCCGCUUGUCUGGCCUCCCGAGGUUGCCUGACUAUUUGCCUGGCUGGCUUUUUAAGGUCGUUAAUCACUGACCUACCUGCCUAGCUUCCAGGUUGCCCGUCAUCCUGUCUGGUCUCUCAAGGUCAUUGAUUCAUCUACCUGUCCUCUGAAGGUCACUGAUCUACUUGUCUAGCCUCUUAUGGUCAUCGUGUGCCUGUCAGGUUGUCCGGUGCUCAAAAUUUUGAAUAAAAUAGGACUAUUGUAAAGUUUGAGCGUGGUUCACUUGAAAACUGCAAAUGGUACGCUUUCGAAACUUUUGCCUGUUUAUGGUCCUGUAAAGGAGCUUUUUGGAGAUGUGAUGAAAAUCAGUGUUGCCACCGUUUUGAGCACUAAAAAGUAGCUGAAAAAGUUGGCAAUGAUAUUUCUCCAUAGUGUACCCGUUCAAAAAUUCUGAAAAAAUGAUUUUUAUGCUGAUUAAAAUUAUUAAGAAAUUGGGUUGGCGUUUUUCCGUAUUCUCCAUUUUAAAAAUUCCAAAGAUUACCAGAAAAAUAUACAUUUCUGCCCUUGAAAAGUCGAAAUUGCACGAAUUGACUUAUUAA